GUUGGGGUGAGAGAGAGAGAGAGAGAGAGAGAGAGAGAGACAGACAGACAGACAGACAGGUGCACAGCAACAACAGUAUUGGCAAUGGCAGUCAAGCAGGACCAUGGCAGGAGGCUCCACCAGGAUCCAUGAGAACCUGGGAGACGAGAAAGCACAAGAACUCCGGGGAAGAAGUGAAGUUAGUAACAUGCAUUAAUGGGACAUGAAUGAGUGCAGAAAGAGAGAGGAAGGGAGGAGCUCAGUGCACCAUGGGAAAUCCCCCGAUAGUCUAGGCCUAUAGCAGCAUAACUAAGGGAUGGUUCAGGACUCACCUGAUCCAGCCCUAACUAUAAGCUUUAUCAAAGAGGAAUGUCUUAAGCCUACUCUUGAAUGUGGUGAGGGUGUCUGCCUCCCGAACCACAACUGGAAGCUGGUUCCACAAGAGAGGAGCUUGGUAACUGAAGGCUCUGGCUCCUGUUCUACUUUUAGAGACUAUAGGAACCACAAGUAGCCCAGCAUUCAGAGAACGUAGUGUUCUAGAGGGGUAAUAGGGUACUAUGAGCUCUUUAAGAUAUGAAGGGGCCUGACCAUGAAGAGCUUUAUAGGUGAGGAGGAGGAUUUUAAAUUCAAUUCUACAUUUUACAGGGAGCCAAUGCAGAGAAGCUAGUACAGGAGAGAUGUGAUCUCUUUUUCUAGUUCCUGUCAGUACUCGUGCUGCAGCGUUCUGAAUUAAUUGGAGCGUUUUAAUGGACUUAUUGGGGCAACCUGAUAAUAAAGAGUUGCAGUAAUCCAGCCUUGAAGUAACAAAUGCAUGGAUUAGUUUUUCUGCAUCUGUC